rnacentral:lncRNA from 10 species
GUUUUCGCGCGCUUCGCUGCGUCCCCGCCGCCCCCCGCCGCCCCCCGGCCCCUCCCGCGCCGCGCCGCGCAGACACAAUGGGCGCGGAGCCGGCUCUUCCUCCCCAGCGGCUGACGCGUUUGCAAAAAUAGCUCUCGGCUCCCGGAAUCCCCGCCCGGGUCCUAGCCCGCCCCCUGCCCCUCCGGGCCGCAGCCGUGGGCGACGCAGCCUGCCUGAGGGAGUGGGUCCCGGGGUCCCAGCUCUGUGGGCGCGAGGCGGGGCAGGGCGGCCCCCAGGGUGACUGGGAGAGCGCCGCUCUGGGGAGUGAGGGCGGCGAGGCUGGGGCCUCCAAACCCCAGAAGGGACGGGACGGGGCUGGCCUCGGUGAGCUGCCAGCCUGCGCUCUGGAUCCAGCCGGGCGCGUCCCCUCCCACCCUCGCGCCGCGGCUGUCGCCGGCCCCGGCCCCCAGUGACGCCCAGGCUCGCCUCCUGCCUGGGUUCCAGGGGGCUGCACCCGGCCAGCGCCGCCCUCCGGAGCCCAGGCCUGUGCCCAGGGCACCCUGGAGGCCCAGCCUUUCUUGCCCGGUGGCGGCGGUUGGGGCAGGGUCGGACCUAGGCCGCGAUGGGGGAUUAGAAGACCUACCUGCCCCAAGUAGCUCGGACAGCUCACCCUCCCAGACACGCCUGGGCUACCUCAUUUCGUCCGCAUCGACUCUGCUGACAUCCCAGGGGAAGCGUCAGCAUUUCGGGAGAGCACCCCUUGCCACCCGACUUUGGGAACUGAGAACCACCUGCCCGCAGGUGAACUACUCCGCAGAAAUGGCAACACCAGCCCCGGGGGCUGAAAGAAAAUGUGUCUACAGCUUGGAGCUGGUGGCGCAGUGGGUUACAAACACUGAUAUUCCACGGGUUCCACCUCCUGUCACCUCAGUUCAAUGGUUUUAUUCUGGUUUGUAAACAUGUAACAAAUGUAUAUCCUCUCUGGGUGCGGAGAAAAGUGAGAGUAUAUUAUGGCAAACACACAGAUCUGGGGAGAGCUGCUCCGCAGGAGACAGCAGGCCGCAGCAUGGGCGACCGCAUCUUCCCAGCUCUAGCUUAUGAGACAGAAACGACGGAAACGGGGUCAAGGGAGAAGAAAAUGAAAAUGCUAAGAAUUUAUGAAUAAAAGCUAGAAUUUUAGAGAAAUACUUUAUCACCUUCUGUUCACAAACCACGAAAAGACAUAUGAUAUCGUUGGUACCAAAGCAUGUGAGAAGACCUCACCUGUAGAAGGAAGGACAAGCCACCACCACCCCUAUCCUUGGAAUUCCCAAGGUGGCAGCCGGAGCGACCAUCCACUCUACUGAGUGGAUUUGGGGCUGGAAACGAAGUAUCAGGCUGGAAAGGACCCUGCCUAUCAUUCCACCCAACGUUGUCCAGUGAGGUAACAAGGCCUAGGCGCCCGUGACGGCUAAGGCAGAACCUAGAGGCCCACUGCCUGCUCCAGGACCAAGGGUCUGUAUGCACAAAACUGGGCACCUGCCUGCCCUCUUCCUCACAUCCCACUCUACCCACACGCUAUUUCCUUCAAUGAGGAAUAAAGUGAGCCACCCGAAGGAUAGAGUUCAACAGAAAAUAUUGGCUGCACUGUGCCACUUACUUCAUUUUAAAUAAAAAUGGAAAUGUAUUCACUGACAUCACUGAAAAGUUAAGGAUAAAGGUCCUCUUCAGGCAUGGCUAGACCCAGGAGCUCAAAAGGAGUCUUUCGAGCAGGUGUCUCUCCAGUCCUCCUCCGUGUUCCCCUGUGUUGAUUCUUUUUCCUUCUGGCAGCCUUGGACUCACAUCCUUGGUUUAGAUCCUGGAAAGGAAAAGGCAGGGCCGAGGCUGAGCCCCAACCCAAGAUGAGCCUUUGGUUUAGUAGCCUGGGACCUGGACAUUUGGAAAGAGACAGAUCAGACUGGAAGCCUCUCCAUCCGGCUUCCACAGAUUACCUUUGUGUUACUUCCUUUUCCCCUAGUCAAGACUUGCUUUAAGUUUUAAGGUGGUAGGAAGGAGAUAUUUUAGUAAAGUAUCCGAUGUAUCUUUUUGGUGCUAUGCUAAUUAUUACCAAGAGCCUCAGUGGUUUUGACUGCAGCCUCCACAUUUUGCACCACCAUGAUGGGGUUUAGCAAUAAAGGGCUGUCUGCUGUCCAGUAGGAAAAAACAGAUUAAUAGACAUUAAUAGAGCCUUCCAGAACACAGCCAUUAAACAGCAACUCACCAUAAUUGAAUAGCAACCACUCUACCUGCUAAUUUCACUCACCAGGUGAUAAGUUAAUUUUACAGUUGAUAAUUUAACUUCUAACACAUAAAAAUAUCAUUUGGUUGAGUCGACUGGUAACUUUCCUUCAAAUGUGGAUUUUUAUUGAAAAACACUGGAAUUAUGAAAAGGAAGGUAAUGUUUACCACUCAUAUCAGACAUGUAAGGCCUACUUUGAGCCUAUUUCUUCAUGGACAUACAUCAUGGCUAAAUUCCACUGAGUGGAAAAUAUUGGCUGCACUGUGGCACUUACUUCAUUUUAAUUAAUCAGAAGGAGAGAUUUUUUCAAAGAAUAGCAUGUACUUGUGUCUGCCUGAGAUGAAUUCCUCUUCCAGCAGCAGUGACAUUUCAGGUCCUCUCCUUUCUAUUCUUCAUCAAGAUGACUGCAUCCAGAGAAGAACUCAAUUAUUUCAAGCAAACAGAAGGCAAUAACUUGGCAGUAAUUUUGAAAUUGCAUCCUAAAAUAUUCUCUUUUUUUUCCCUUUAAGGGCUUUGAAAUAAAAUGUGCCACCAAUUAAAAUGACUUUUGAGUGAAUCCGAUGAGCAAUAUAUCAUGGCAUUAUUAUCUUUGCUUGAGUAAGGCUAAUAACCUAAAAUGCAAAAGGGAGCAUCCCAUUUAUUCUUGAAUAUGAUGAGUAAAUAAAGACCAG